rnacentral:rRNA from 1 species
AUGGUGGUGGAAGUUGUGAAAGCUAAAUAUUUCAGUAGGGCUACUGUGGCUGACAUUAAAAUGAAGUGCAAUGACUCACCAUGCUGGAAAGCGGUCAUGAAAGUGAAAAAUCUUUAUAUGGCAGGGAGGAGAGUAAUUGUUCAAUCGGGAAACAUUGCUAGGCUAUGGAUUGACCCCAUUGGGGACAAUAUCCCUCUGGCUGAGCAGUUCCCUCGUCUUUUCUCGAUCUACAAUUAUCCUGAGUGCACUGUUAAUAAGUGCUUAAAUGAUGAUCCCUCCUCAUUCUUUAGAAGGAGACUAAAUGGUGAGAUUUUUGAUCAAUGGGUCGUGGUUGGUAAUAUGGCCAGGGAAGCAUGUGUUUCAGAUGCCUCUAAUGUGAUCAAAUGGGGCUUGGGUGGUAGAACCUCUUUUACCACCAAAUCGGUGUACUCGUUCCUGGAAAAGAAUAUUGUUGGAUGCGACUACAGAUGGAUUUGGAGUGCCAGAAUCCCUCUCAAAAUUUAA